CAGGCGCGAAACCUUUACACUGCACGCCAGUGCGAUAAGGGAAUCCCAAGUGCGUAGGCAUAGAGCCUACGCUUUUGUCCACCGUAGGGAGGUGGACGAAUAAGGGCUGGGCAAGACCGGUGCCAGCCGCCGCGGUAAUACCGGCAGCCCGAGUGAUGGCCGAUCUUAUUGGGCCUAAAGCGUCCGUAGCUGGCCGCACAAGUCCAUCGGAAAAUCCACCCGCUCAACGGGUGGGCGUCCGGUGGAAACUGUGUGGCUUGGGACCGGAAGGCGCGACGGGUACGUCCGGGGUAGGAGUGAAAUCCCGUAAUCCUGGACGGACCGCCGAUGGCGAAAGCACGUCGCGAGGACGGAUCCGACAGUGAGGGACGAAAGCUAGGGUCUCGAACCGGAUUAGAUACCCGGGUAGUCCUAGCCGUAAACAAUGUCUGUUAGGUGUGGCUCCCACUACGAGUGGGUGCUGUGCCGUAGGGAAGCCGCUAAACAGACCGCCUGGGAAGUACGUCCGCAAGGAUGAAACUUAAAGGAAUUGGCGGGGGAGCACAA
rnacentral:rRNA from 2 species